rnacentral:rRNA from 1 species
CGUGAAAUUGUUGAAAGGGAAGCGCUCGCUACCAGACUUGGGUUCGGCGGUUCAACCGGGGCCACGCCCCGGGGCACUCCGCCGGCCCAGGCCAGCAUCAGCUUUCCGUCGGGGGCAAAGGCGUCGGGAAUGUGGCUCCCCUCCGGGGGAGUGUUAUAGCCCGGCGUGUCAUACCCUUCGGGGGGCUGAGGUACGCGCUUCUGCAAGGAUGCUGG